rnacentral:tRNA from 1 species
GGCCCUAUAGUGUAGUGGUUAUCACUUCAGAUUUUGAUCACAGUAUUGAUAUUCUGAUAACCCCGGUUCGAACCCGGGUAGGACCU